rnacentral:rRNA from 1 species
GACGAACGCUGGCGGCGUGCUUAACACAUGCAAGUCGAACGGAAAGGCCCUGCUUUUGUGGGGUGCUCGAGUGGCGAACGGGUGAGUAACACGUGAGUAACCUGCCCUUGACUUUGGGAUAACUUCAGGAAACUGGGGCUAAUACCGGAUAGGAGCUCCUGCUGCAUGGUGGGGGUUGGAAAGUUUCGGCGGUUGGGGAUGGACUCGCGGCUUAUCAGCUUGUUGGUGGGGUAGUGGCUUACCAAGGCUUUGACGGGUAGCCGGCCUGAGAGGGUGACCGGCCACAUUGGGACUGAGAUACGGCCCAGAAUCCUACGGGAGGCAGCAGUGGAGAAUAUUGCACAAUGGGCGGAAGCCUGAUGCAGCAACGCCGCGUGCGGGAUGACGGCCUUCGGGUUGUAAACCGCUUUCGCCUGUGACGAAGCGGGAGUGACGGUAAUGGGUAAAGAAGCACCGGCCAACUACGUG